UCAAGUUCCAAUGGGGGAGUUUAGGGCUGCUCUCCUGCUCAAAUGCAUCUCAACAUGUGCCAGAACAUGUCAAUGAAAACCAGAGACAGAGGGACAGAUACUUUAGGCUGCAUAUCUGACACAGAAGAGCAGGACUAAAUUGGAUUGGUUUUGGAAUAGAUUAUAAUCUUCAGCCAUGAUCCAGUGCAUGAAGACAUUACUGUUUUGUGUUGCCUAUUUCUCUGUGUGCUCUGUAAAGGCGGACUCCGUUACUCAACCUACAGAUGAGACGGGUCUGGAGGGCAGCAUGGUGACCCUCAGCUGUCAGUAUGACACCAAAGCCUCAGCACUUAGCCAGUAUCUCUUCUGGUACCAGCAGAAACCAAACGGAUUCCCCAGAUACAUGCUACAGAAAAGUAAUAAUGGAGAUAACUAUGAUGAUCACUUCAGGGCAAGAUUCAAUGCUACACUCAAAACUGAUGGAAAAACUGUUCAUCUGAUGAUCCAGAAUUUGCAGGUGUCUGACUCUGCUGUGUACUACUGUGCUCUGAGGCCCACAGUGAUAGCUGCACUUACACCAUUCAUGCAAAAACUGUCUGACAUCACCUCUCAACUCUAUCCGUAUAAUAAGAUCGAGGCACAAUUCAAAUUUAUUGCUGUGUUCAGUCCUGUGUCUUGGGUGGGAUGA